rnacentral:rRNA from 1 species
GUGGGGAAUUUUGGACAAUGGGCGCAAGCCUGAUCCAGCAAUGCCGCGUGCAGGAAGAAGGCCUUCGGGUUGUAAACUGCUUUUGUACGGAACGAAACGGUCCGGGUUAAUACCCUGGGCUAAUGACGGUACCGUAAGAAUAAGCACCGGCUAACUACGUGCCAGCAGCCGCGGUAAUACGUAGGGUGCAAGCGUUAAUCGGAAUUACUGGGCGUAAAGCGUGCGCAGGCGGUUUUGUAAGACAGGCGUGAAAUCCCCGGGCUCAACCUGGGAGUUGCGCUUGUGACUGCAAGGCUGGAGUGCGGCAGAGGGGGAUGGAAUUCCGCGUGUAGCAGUGAAAUGCGUAGAUAUGCGGAGGAACACCGAUGGCGAAGGCAAUCCCCUGGGCCUGCACUGACGCUCAUGCACGAAAGCGUGGGGAGCAAACAGGAUUAGAUACCCCUGUAGUCC